CCUACGGGGGGCUGCAGUGGGGAAUAUUGGACAAUGGGGGCAACCCUGAUCCAGCCAUGCCGCGUGUGUGAAGAAGGCCCUCGGGUUGUAAAGCACUUUCAGUGAGGAAGAACGCCUGGUGGUUAAUACCCAUCAGGAAAGACAUCACUCACAGAAGAAGCACCGGCUAACUCCGUGCCAGCAGCCGCGGUAAUACGGAGGGUGCGAGCGUUAAUCGGAAUUACUGGGCGUAAAGCGCGCGUAGGUGGCUUGAUAAGCCGGUUGUGAAAGCCCCGGGCUCAACCUGGGAACGGCAUCCGGAACUGUCAAGCUAGAGUGCAGGAGAGGAAGGUAGAAUUCCCGGUGUAGCGGUGAAAUGCGUAGAGUUCGGGAGGAAUACCAGUGGCGAAGGCGGCCUUCUGGACUGACACUGACACUGAGGUGCGAAAGCGUGGGUAGCAAACAGGAUUAGAUACCCUUGUAGUC
rnacentral:rRNA from 1 species